UACGGAGGGUGCAAGCGUUAUCCGGAUUCACUGGGUUUAAAGGGUGCGUAGGUGGGCAGGUAAGUCAGUGGUGAAAUCUCCGGGCUUAACCCGGAAACUGCCAUUGAUACUAUUUGUCUUGAAUACUGUGGAGGUCAGCGGAAUAUGUCAUGUAGCGGUGAGAUGCUUAGAUAUGACAUAGAACGCCAAUUGCGAAGGCAGCUGGCUACACAAAUAUUGACACUGAGGCACGAAAGCGUGGGGAUCAAACAGG
rnacentral:rRNA from 1 species